GUACACUCCUGCGGGAGGCAGCAGUGGGGAAUAUUGGACAAUGGGCGCAAGCCUGAUCCAGCCAUGCCGCGUGAGUGAUGAAGGCCCUAGGGUUGUAAAGCUCUUUCACCGGUGAAGAUAAUGACGGUAACCGGAGAAGAAGCCCCGGCUAACUUCGUGCCAGCAGCCGCGGUAAUACGAAGGGGGCUAGCGUUGUUCGGAUUUACUGGGCGUAAAGCGCACGUAGGCGGACUAUUAAGUCAGGGGUGAAAUCCCGGGGCUCAACCCCGGAACUGCCUUUGAUACUGGUAGUCUUGAGUUCGAGAGAGGUGAGUGGAAUUCCGAGUGUAGAGGUGAAAUUCGUAGAUAUUCGGAGGAACACCAGUGGCGAAGGCGGCUCACUGGCUCGAUACUGACGCUGAGGUGCGAAAGCGUGGGGAGCAAACAGGAUUAGAUACCCCGGUAGUCCAA
rnacentral:rRNA from 1 species